GAGUUUGAUCCUGGCUCAGAUUGAACGCUGGCGGCAUGCUUUACACAUGCAAGUCGAACGGCAGCACGGGUGCUUGCACCUGGUGGCGAGUGGCGGACGGGUGAGUAAUACAUCGGAACGUGUCCUUAAGCGGGGGAUAACGCAUCGAAAGAUGUGCUAAUACCGCAUAAUCUCUGAGGAGAAAAGCAGGGGAUCGCAAGACCUUGCACUUUUGGAGCGGCCGAUGUCUGAUUAGCUAGUUGGUGGGGUAAUGGCCUACCAAAGCUUCGAUCAGUAGCUGGUCUGAGAGGACGGCCAGCCACACUGGCACUGAGACACGGCCCAGACUCCUACGGGAGGCAGCAGUGGGGAAUUUUGGACAAUGGGCGCAAGCCUGAUCCGGCCAUGCCGCGUGAGUGAAGAAGGCCUUCGGGUUGUAAAGCUCUUUCAGCCGGGAAGAAAAGGUUGCGAUUAAUAAUCGCAAUUUAUGACGGUACCGGAAGAAGAAGCACCGGCUAACUACGUGCCAGCAGCCGCGGUAAUACGUAGGGUGCGAGCGUUAAUCGGAAUUACUGGGCGUAAAGGGUGCGCAGGCGGUUUUGUAAGUCAGAUGUGAAAUCCCCGGGCUUAACCUGGGAACUGCGUUUGAAACUACAAGACUAGAGUGUAGCAGAGGGGGGUGGAAUUCCAUGUGUAGCAGUGAAAUGCGUAGAGAUAUGGAAGAACACCGAUGGCGAAGGCAGCCCCCUGGGUUAACACUGACGCUCAGGCACGAAAGCGUGGGGAGCAAACAGGAUUAGAUACCCUGGUAGUCCACGCCCUAAACGAUGUCAACUAGUUGUCGGGUCUUAAUAGACUUGGUAACGUAGCUAACGCGUGAAGUUGACCGCCUGGGGAGUACGGUCGCAAGAUUAAAACUCAAAGGAAUUGACGGGGACCCGCACAAGCGGUGGAUUAUGUGGAUUAAUUCGAUCCAACGCGAAGAACCUUACCUGGGUUUGACAUGUACGUAGUAGUGAACUGAAAAGGGAACGAUCCUUCGGGAAGCGUACACAGGUGCUGCAUGGCUGUCGUCAGCUCGUGUCGUGAGAUGUUGGGUUAAGUCCCGCAACGAGCGCAACCCUCGUCGUUAGUUACAAGUGUCUAGCGAGACUGCCGGUAUCAAGCCGGAGGAAGGUGGGGAUGACGUCAAGUCAGCAUGGCCUUUAUAUCCAGGGCUACACACACGCUACAAUGGCCGGUACAAUGGGCAGCGAAGCCGCGAGGCGGAGCGAAUCUCAUCAAAGCUGGUCGUAGUUCGGAUUGUAGGCUGCAACUCGCCUACAUGAAGCCGGAGUUGCUAGUAAACGCAGGUCAGACAUACUGCGUUGAAUACGUUCCCGGGCCUUGUACACACCGCCCGUCACGUCAUGGAAGUUGGUAACACCUGAAGUCGGUGACCUAACCGCAAGGAUGGAGCUGCCUAGGGUGGGGCUGACAACUU
rnacentral:rRNA from 1 species